AAAUAACAUGGGAAACAGCAAAUAAUGUGUCAUUUAAAAUGGAUGCCUGAUUGAAGGCCAGAACACUGGGAUAAAUAUCUCUGUUCUUUGAACUAAAGCCAUGGGAUCUUUUACCUUCAAGACAGAAGAUGUGAGCUUCAGUUUAAUAGUGCAUCUGAAAAGCAUUACAAUUACACUACAAUGCUCUCUUAGUAAUCCAUUGAAAUACAAUCCUGAUUUUUGUGCUCAGAUCUCUGGAGUGGAAUUUGAACCUACAAUCUAACUCAAGCCUUCAAGUUAGCCACAGAGGAAGAGUUAAGAGCUUAAGUUCCCUUCCCUGGGCAAUGUGAUGACGACUUAAAGUCUGGACUGGAACUUGAACCCAAAGAGACUAGCGGAGAUGCAUUCCUGGAGGACUGACUAAAGACAGUGCCAACACAGAAGAGUAGAAGACUUAGAAUAUCAGCCAAAGAUAACUCAAAACAAUGAAGUGAAAGAGUGGGACUUACUAAUCAUCACCAUUACUAAGGAGAUGAUGUUGGGAAAACUACUGACCAGUCAGCUGACAACUCCCAAGACUUGACAGCAUGCAUCCUAGGAUCUUAAUGACUACAAAGCAAAAACAGGGAUUGGUUAUAAUUAUCCAAAUUUCUUGAGUUUCUAGAAGGGUUUUGAAAUGAGCAAGUAUUACAUCUUUAUCCAAGAAAGAAAAGCGACACAAGCAGGAAUAUAUAAAUAAAAAAUAUUGCAGAUGUUGGAAUCAGAAAUAAAAAGUGGAAAAACUCAUCAGGUCUGGAGCUGCUUUGAGGGAAGAAACAGAAUUAAAUUUAAAAUCCAGUGACUUUUCUUCAUAGCUCCAAACUUCUCAGGGAGAGUUUUUGAACUCAAAUGUUAACGCAGUUUCUCUAUAGAUGCUGCCAGACCUGCUGUUUUUCUCCAGCACUUUGCUUUUAAUACAGCAGGAAACUAUAGACCUGUCAGCGAAACAUCUGACAUAGAUAAAUUACGAGAAAUAAUGAGGCGGUUAUAGCAAAACCAUUUAGAAAAUAAUAAUGGGAUCAGUUAGAGUCCAUGUGGUUAGGUGAAAGGGAAACAAUGUUUGAUUCAUUUUUUGUUAAAAUUGGUUAAGAUGGGGGUGGCACUGGCUAGGCCAGUAUUUAUUGCUGAUCGCUAAUUGCCUUUGAGAAUGGAGGUACUGGAUGAUUUCUUGAACCACUGAAAUCCAUGCGGUACAAGUGGACCAAUGGGGCUCUUAGGGAAGGAAUUUUAGGAUUUUGACGCAGCAACUGUGAAUGAACAGUGAUAAGUUCUAAGGUGGCAUAAUGUCUUGGUCUCUAUCUCAGGAAAGAUACUAUUGCCAUAGGUGGUGUAAGGAUGGUUCACCAGACUUGUUCCUGGGAUGGCAGGACUGACCUAGGAAGAGAGUGUUUAAAAACUGAUUCAUGGGAUGUGAGCAUCACUAGCUAGACCAACAUUUAUUGCCCAUCCCUAAUUGCCCAGAGGGCAGUUAGGAGACAACCACAUUCUUAUGGGUCUGGACUCAAGUAGGUCAGACCAGGUAAGGAUGGCAGCUUCCUUCCCUCAACAACAUUAGUGAACCAGAUGUUUUCAAACAGUUGUUAAUGGAUUCAUGAUCAUCAUUAGACUCUUAAUUCCAGAUUUUUAUUGAAUUGAAAAUUUCAUCAUCUGCCAUAGCAAGAUUUGAAUGCAGGUCCCCAGAUAUUAGCCGAAUCGCUGGAUUAAUAGUCUAGUGAUAACACCACUUGGCCAUCACCUUCCCAUAGUGUUCAGAUUGGGCCAGCUGGGCCUAUAAUUCUCCAGCGUUUUGAAGAAUACAAGGUGAUCACAUUGAAAUUAACAAAAUACUUAGAGGUAGACAGUAGACAUACGCAAAAUGUUUCCCCUGGUUGAAGUCUAGAAUUGGGGCACAGUUUAAAAAUAAGGGAGUUGCCACUUAGGGGUGAGGCGAGGAGAUGGUUUUAAAACUCAAAAGGGUUGAGGAACUUUGGAAUUCUCUGUAAGAGUGCUUGAGAAGCUCAGUCUUUGCAUAUAUUCAGUACAAAUUAAGACUUGAGAUUUCUAGUAACGUAAAAGGUUAUGGGAAUAGGGUUUGUAAAAGGCACUGAAGUAUUCAAACAGCCAUUAUUGUACUGAAUGGAAAGGCAGGCUUGAAAGCUGAAUGGCCUACUCCUGUUCCUAUUUUACCACAAUCUACUCCAUAUACCAAUUUGUUUUGCCAACUCACAACCUAUCAUUUUGUGAACUCUUCUUGACAAGAUAAUUUCCCACCUAUCUUGGUGUCAUCAAGAAAUUUAGCUACUGUACAAUUUUUCUUCCAUCCAAGUUAUAGACAGAUUGCAAAAAAGAUGAAGCCCUAGGUCCUAGUGUCCUGUAUGAACCCCAAACCAGCUUCCGAUCACAUUUUCUGUGGACAGAAAGAACCAUGUAAUAGCCAAUACAAGGAGAGACUUUAAAGUUUUGACUUCUAAGUUCAUAACUUAGUUUUACACACCACAAUCAGUUUGCCAAAUAGGUCUCAUUUUAACUUCAAAUCAAAAUUCCCCAUACAUUUAAAAUUUGUAGAUUAUAGAAAGUGGAGGAUCAAGACAUAUGUGCAUGUAUAACUCAGUAUAUUGGCCCUCCGCCAUCAGGCAGAAUUUUCACUCAACCGUAACGUUCUUAAAUAGAAAGGACUAUUGUAAACAUGCAAGAUAGAAAUUCAAUAAUCUGGCAAAUUCAGUCAGCCAUUACAAAUUGGGAGCCUACCAACCUUUGCAGCUGGCUAGGGAUUAUUUAAUUCUCCUAGUUUCAGUCAUAUUUGUUCAGAUGACAGCCUUCUAUAUUAGGGAUUCCAAUGCCUUCUUUUCUCCUUGGCCUAGAAUUCCACCUGAGUUUGGUUGACAGGGCCCUCCAGAGUGUUUGAUCUAUUUCAGAUAAUUCUGUUCUUGCUCCUUUAUUUCUUCCCAGAUUCACAAUAGGUUUUUCCACAGAAUCCGAACUGUUAUGGUGCAGGAGGCAACCAUUUAGUCCACGCCUUCACCAGCUCUUCAAACAACCAUCAUUACCAUGUGCCAAUUUCCUGCUCCCCAACUCCACCCACACACUAUUUCUAUCCAAAUCAUCAAAUGUCCUCUUGAACUCCUCAGUUGAACCUGUCUCCAUUCUUCCUUUCAAAGCAUUCCAUAUCCUAAAUACUCAGAUUUUUCCUCACAUCUUUGCUUCAUCAUUUAAUCUUUCUUGCCCUACACCCCAUUACAAACCUCCCUUUUGAUCUGGCCCCUCAUUGCUCCAUUCACUUAUUCAAAAUCUAUUACACUUAUCUCUUCAGUCGGAUGGGGGAGUUAACCAGAAAUGUUAAAUCUGUUUCUCCAUAGAUUCUACCUGACUUACCAUUUCUAGCAUUCUGUAUUUUUUAGUUUCAGAUUUCCAGCAUCUGCAAUAUUUUAUUUUCACAUUAUAUACUGUACUGCACCUGGUGG